UACAGAGGGUGCAAACGUUGCUCGGAAUCAUUGGGCGUAAAGCGCACGUAGGUGGUCAUGCAAGUCAGGAGUGAAAGCCCUCGGCUUAACCGGGGAAGUGCUUUUGAAACUGCAUGACUUGAGUACUGAAGAGGGUCGCGGAAUUCCCGGUGUAGAGGUGAAAUUCGUAGAUAUCGGGAAGAACACCCGUGGCGAAGGCGGCUCUCUGGGACGGUACUGACGCUGAGACGCGAAAGCGUGGGGAGCGAACAGG
rnacentral:rRNA from 1 species